rnacentral:rRNA from 1 species
UACGUAGGGCGCAAGCGUUGUCCGGAAUUAUUGGGCGUAAAGAGCUCGUAGGCGGCCAGUUGCGUCCGCUGUGAAAUCCCGGGGCUUAACCCCGGGCGUGCAGUGGAUACGGGCUGGCUGGAGGCAGGCAGGGGAGAACGGAAUUCCUGGUGUAGCGGUGAAAUGCGCAGAUAUCAGGAGGAAUACCGAUGGCGAAGGCAGGUCUCUGGGCUGACACUGACGCUCAUGCACGAAAGCGUGGGGAGCAAACAGG